CCUACGGGUGGCUGCAGUGGGGAAUUUUGGACAAUGGGCGCAAGCCUGAUCCAGCUAUUCCGCGUGUGGGAUGACGGCCUUCGGGUUGUAAACCACUUUUGUAGAGAACGAAAAGUCUGUUGAUAAUACCGAUAGAUGAUGACGGUACUCUAAGAAUAAGCACCGGCUAACUACGUGCCAGCAGCCGCGGUAAUACGGAGGAUGCGAGCGUUAUCCGGAUUUAUUGGGUUUAAAGGGUGCGUAGGCGGUUUUUUAAGUUAGUGGUUAAACGUCGGGGCUUCACCUUGAUUUGCCAUUAAUACUGUAAGACUCGAGUUCAGACGAGGUAGGCGGAAUAAGUUAAGUAGCGGUGAAAUGCUUAGAUAUAACUUAGAACUCCGAUAGCGAAGGCAGCUUACCAGACUGCGACUGACGCUGAAGCACGAGAGCGUGGGUAGCGAACAGGAUUAGAUACCCUUGUAGUC
rnacentral:rRNA from 1 species